rnacentral:siRNA from 1 species
CCAUCAUCGGUCAACUGAGGU